rnacentral:tRNA from 3 species
GCGUGUAGCUCAGUUGGUAGAGCACUUGACUUUUAAUCAAGUUGUCCGGGGUUCGAAUCCCCGCA